CCCCCCCCCCCCCCCCCCCCCCCCCCCCCCCCCCCCCCCCCCCCCCCCCCCCCCCCCCCCCCCCCCCCCCCCCCCCCCCGCGCACCGGGGCGGCCCUGCGUGGCGGCCACCGGUAAGUGACGCGCCCGCCCCCGCGAACGGCCAUCGCCGCCACCACCAUUCUCAUCCUCCCUGUGCGCAGAGGGAACGGGGACGGCGGCUGUCCGCCUGUACAGCCAGCGGUUCAAAGCGGCGGCGGCACUGAGCCCUUCCCGCCUCCCCCCCUGCUCCGCCCGGGAACUUCUUCACUAAGAAGGGCUGUGGCGGGUCCCGGACGACACCGCUCCCGAGUCCCUUCCCAAGGAGCAGUUCCCCCUCCUGCCCGUUUGCUAAGAGUAAACACGCCGAGAGUUGCAUGUCCGUGGGCGUGUGCGUGUCCGCGGGCACCUCCCGCACCGACGGACCGUGUCACAGCGGUGCGAUCGCUCACGUGCCCAGCCGCCCGUGGGGACGCUCGCUGCAUCCCCUUUCCUCAGCUCCCACUUCAUUCCCAGGACCCCCAGCCUGGCGCAGGAACCCGAGAGAGAGGCAGAAGUUUGGGGUCCCGCCGCGCCCUUCGCCUCCGCGCUCUCCCGCAGGGGCCGAAGAUGAGGCGAGUGGGUUCAAAGCCCACCGCUGUCACCCCGCAGUCCCAGGGGUUGGUUACCUCAGCGGCCUGCGGGGCCCGGCAGGACUGCGGCUCUCAGCGCUGCUGGAACCCGUGCCCGCGGCGGAGGGGCCGGGCCCCCGCCGUGUCACCGCUCCGCCAGCCAGGCGGGGAGCGAGUGCUCCUCUCUGCACUCCGCCUCUGCCCCGGACCCCGCGGUUUCCUCCUUCUCCUCCGGCUGUGCUCCAGCAACCCCCACCGCUGCUCGAGGCAGCACAGCCGUGUCCCGGGCUGGCCCCGCCAGCCCGCGGGGAUGCGGCCGGCCGCUGCCGGGGCUCCGCGUGUGGGUGGGGGUACGCGCCAGUGGCUGUGGGGGAGUUAUGUUUUGCUCUCGGCACCAGCCGCUGGUGCUGUUCGUACCCAGCGCAGCUGCUCGGAGCCCGUCCCGGUGCUGCGAGGGGACGGCGGCCGCAGCCCGGCUCUGGGAAGGGUGGCGGGUACCCCGCCGCUAAUAAAGUCAAGCUCUCCAAGUACCAGGUCUGCCUUUCUCUCGCUCUCUCCCUUGUUUACUUACAGGGUCUUUUAUUUUUAAUGGAGCAGUUUGUACACGUGCUUUGCCGAAGCGCCGAAGCGGGCUGGACGGGGUUCGAGCCUGAGAGUGGGUGCCCCCCUGAGCCAAAUUGCUCAAAGACUGAAACACCUCUUGUGAUCUUCUGCUGAAGGUGAAAAGCCCACAGCCUAUGGCUGAGCACCAGACAGUCCCAGGAUGUGCUGGAAUAUGGGGCAAGCCCUGAGCAGGGACAUCUGAGGUUUAGCCUCCUGCUGGUGCCAGGUUCACGGCAGAAGAGUCAAAGAAGGAAAGGCAGCCACAAGCAUGAAAUCAAAAUAGAAACAAGAAGUCAAACAGCACUCUGGGACCUGCAGAAAAUUAUCUAUUAGACAAAUAAAAUGAAAAAAAACCUCAC
rnacentral:lncRNA from 12 species